rnacentral:lncRNA from 1 species
GGACCCGCGGACGGUGGCGUUAAGGGAACGCUGAGGUCCCGCGCUCCCCGACCGAGGUAGAGCGGGCCCUGUUCCGGGGAGGUGGUGGGCACCAACAUUUUUAAAGCCCCGUGGGUGGUUCUCCGGGAUCGCCCAGACCGAAGGGCCUGAACGCCCAGACCGCAGGGAAUGGGGUCGGAGGGGGGCGCUCGUCCGCGGAGGUGGGCGGGAGCGGCCCGGGGCCUCCGACCUCUUGUUUAUUAUACAUCCCUUGAUUAACUAAACUAUUUUGUAAUUGUGUGUGUUUGUGGAGGUCACAUGUAAACAAACUUAAAGUGACUCUACUUUGUGAAAAUGUGAAACUUCGUGUAGGUACUCAGUAAAUCAGUAAAUUCUUACUAACGUUAGCCCCCAGCCUAGCUAUGGAGGGUGCAUGCUGAGCCCGAAGCAGAGAACUCUGUAAUCUCUGCAUUCAUCACCACCACGAGGAGGCCUCAGAAGCUUCUAGCACUGUUUGCACCUUCCCCACAUCACCCCUCCCUGCCUUCCUCACAGUCUUCCUUCUGAUCAGAAGACCCUUUCCUUCUUUCUCUGCCUGUCAAAAUGCUGCUCACUCUUCAAACCCUAGCUCAUAUGAAAGUGUCCGGUGUGAGCCCACUUUUAUCGAGUUGAUUCUGUAUCUUUGAUACAACUGUAUGAGGGUUCUCCAGAGACACAACAAAUAGAAGGGAGACGUGAGGAAUUGGUUUAAAGGUUCAAUUGCUAAUCUCAUCCAAAAACACCCUUACAGACACGCCCAGAAAUAAUGCUUAACCAUGUAUCUGAGCACCUCAUGAUGCCGUCAAGUUGACAAACAAAAUUAACCAUCGCAGCAGCCAUACAUUUAAACAUAUUUGUACCAGAGAACUUACCUGAUUCUACCUGCACUUCAGAUGCUUAAGACAUGUCUGUUUUCUCCACUUUCCCCAACCAGAUUGCUGAGAGUGUGGAGCCCCGGUGAGGGAGGCAGCAUGGUGUGGGAGCCUGAAGGCCGUGACUUUGGGACCUGCCAGGGACAGCCGAGUUUUAUCCCCUGCAGUGAACCGUGGGCAAAUCACUUAAGCUCUGAGCCUCAGUCUUCCUGUUCACAGGAGAUGGAUAAUCAUACUUAACCUCAGCACACUGCAAGGAUUAAGUCAGCCAAGGCGUUUAGAAGCAUUUUGUGUGGGGUGGGUUUUAAUAACUUAGUUCCCUCUGAAGGCUUUGCUGCUCUCAAGUCGGGGAGGAGGUUCCUUAUUUCAGGUGCCCUCAUAAGGACUGCUGGGGAACAAAACGGGUGUAAAGGAAACCAGUGGGCUGGGCGUGGUGGCUCAUACCUGUAACCCCAGCACUCUGCGAGGCCCAGGUGGGCAGAUCGAGUGACCAGCCUGAGCAACACAGCAAAACCCCGUCUCUACAAAAAAAUACAAAAAUUAGCAAGUCGUGACGGUGCACACCUGUAGUCCCAGCUACUCAGGAGGCUGAGGUGGGAAGAUCAGUGGAGCCUGGGAGGUCGAGGCUGCAGUGAGUGGAGAUGGCACCACUUGCCCUCCAGCCCGAGCAACAGGGUUAAAAAAAAAAAAAAAGAAAACCAGUUUUGGAAAACCAGUGAUGUUUAAUGUUUAGGAAAUCAGUCUUUGGGAGACUUCAUCCAUGAAAUCUCUGCUUGGCCUGGCCAGAAAAAUUCUCUCUAGUUUAGAUUGACUUGGCACCACUUUGGGGACCUGCCGGUCAUAUGCAGACUUACAUCCCCACCACACAAUCAAUUCACUGAUGCAGAGGAGUGAGUUUUGUGUUUCUUCACAUUCCAUGGUUCUGGGCUGGCACUUAGGAACAUGAGAAACUGAAUAAUUGAAUGGAAGAAAGGCAAAACUGCCCUCUAGUUGUAGCGAUACAUUUUGUGUAGUGGCUUUUUAUCUGCUUCCAUGUCUCAGGUCAGAAGUUUUGCUGUAGAGGAAGAGGAGGCUGGUAAGAGCAGGUGGUUUUUAUGAUUCAGUGAUCUGCGCAGUGCUUGCUUCUUGGUGAAAGACAGGGCAGGUCCACAUCCAAUCCUAAGGGGCUGCCAUGUAAAAAGCUCAUCCGCCUGCAGGCUUGGGAAAAAAAACCCUUAACACUUGGAGAGGCUACUGUUGCCUGUGGCUAGGGUGAGUGGAUUGGAAGGCUUAAAAUUACUCUGACUAAUGUAAUAAUUAAUUGGCUUUGAGGCUGGGAGAGGCCCUGAAGUGACUCAUUUUCCAUUUGUUUUUCAGACUCAUCUCCAGCUUUUAUAGCCUUUCAUGAUAACUUUCACUUUUGAAAUUCUUACCUUCCCUUCUUGGACUUUUGAAAUGAUGCUUUCUGUCCCUGAAAAGGGUUGAAGAAUAUUUUUUUCUUCCUGGUUUUUUGCUGAGGUAGUGUGGUCAGAGAGAACUGUUAAGUUGGUGUUCUUGUAAGGAUUCUCCAAAGGUGUGUUACGAUGUGUUUGAGGUUCUGUUGCACAUAGGAGCGUUAACCAGCCCCUAGUGUAGUCUAGAAGAAGAGGCAGACAUAUGAAUACUUGAUAAGCGCUAUUGGUUGAUUUAUUGAUGAGAGGCUAGUUUUGUCCUGAUCACUCGCUUCAUUUACUAGAAUUUUUUUUUUUUUUCGAGACGGAGUCUUGCCCUGUCGCCAGGCUGGAGUGCAGUGGCGCGAUCUCGGCUUGCUGCAACCUCUGACUCCCUGGUUCUAGUGAUUCUCCUGCCUCAGCCUCCCGAGUAGCUGGGAUUACAGGCGCCCCUCACCACGUCCAGCUAAUUUUUGUAUUUUUAGUAGAGACGGGGUUUCACCACAUUGGCCAGGAUGGUCUCGAUCUCCUGACCUCAUGAUCUGCCCGCCUCGGCCUCCCAAAGUGCUGGGGUUACAGGUGUGAGCCACCGUGCCCAGCCCAUUUACUAGAUUUUUACUUAACAUAACAUAGAAAUGUGUGUAAUUGUGCUUGCCCGAAAGAGCAGUCCCUGGAGAAAUUCUUACCCUGAGUAGCUCCCAGGGGAGAAUAUUCAGUAUUUCAGCACUCCAGAGGGCUUCUCUCUCUUCACACCUCCUCUGUCAUUCUGCUUCCCCCCUUUUCUCUCAGUCUUCUUGAUUGCCCUUUCCCCAUCUCUCUCUCCGUGCUUUUCCCAUCUCUCCGUGCUUUCUCCCCUCUAGUGUUCCUGUACCUCCUGUUUCCUCCCCUGACCCAGAAAACAUAGUUUUAGAGCUGAAAGGGACUGGUUGAGUUCACUGGGCCCAACUCAGUUUCUUUUAAUUAAAUAUUUUAUUUUGGGGUCAUGUAAAUCACAUGCAGUUGUCAUCAGUAAUGCAGAGAGCCCGUGUACCCUCUACCCAGCUUUCCCCAGUGGAAGCAUCUGCAAAACGAUAGUGCAGUGUCACAGCCAAGACAUCUGCCAGGAUGCGGUCAAGAUACCCCAAUCCCUGGGGCCUCACGUGCUGCCCUGUGUACCGCCCCUCCCUCCAUAGCCCCCGGCAGCUACUGAUCUGUUCUUCAUCUCCAGAACUUUGUCAUUUCAAGAAUGUUAUGUAAAUGGAAUCAAACAGUAUAUAACCUUUCGGGUUGACUUUUUUCAUUCAGCAUAACCCCCUGAGGUCCAUGCAGAUUGUUGCUGUAUCAGUAGUUCAUAGAUAGUUUCAUUGCUGAGUCGUGUUUUAUGACAUGGACGUACCACAGUGUGUUUAACCACUGAAAGACAUCUGGGUCCUUUCCAGUUUUCAGCUGUUAUGAAUAAAGCUCUUAUAAAC